rnacentral:rRNA from 1 species
GUUCCAUCUGGAAGAAGUACUGGAGACAGGUGGCUGCAUGGCUGUCGUCAGCUCGUGUCGCGAGAUGUUGGGUUAAGUCCCGCAACGAGCGCAACCCUUGCCUUUAGUUGCCAGCAGUUCGGCUGGGCACUCUAAAGGGACUGCCGGUGUUAAACCGGAGGAAGGUGGGGAUGACGUCAAGUCCUCAUGGCCUUUAUGACCAGGGCUACACACGUACUACAAUGGCCGAUACAAAGGGCAGCGACACUGCGAGGUGAAGCCAAUCCCGUAAAAUCGGUCUCAGUCCGGAUUGGAGUCUGCAACUCGACUCCAUGAAGUUGGAAUCGCUAGUAAUCGUGGAUCAGCAUGCCACGGUGAAUACGUUCCCGGGCCUU